rnacentral:rRNA from 1 species
UACACUCCUACGGGAGGCAGCAGUGGGGAAUUUUGGACAAUGGGCGAAAGCCUGAUCCAGCAAUGCCGCGUGUGUGAAGAAGGCCUUCGGGUUGUAAAGCACUUUUGUCCGGAAAGAAAUCCUUGGCUCUAAUACAGUCGGGGGAUGACGGUACCGGAAGAAUAAGCACCGGCUAACUACGUGCCAGCAGCCGCGGUAAUACGUAGGGUGCGAGCGUUAAUCGGAAUUACUGGGCGUAAAGCGUGCGCAGGCGGUUUGCUAAGACCGAUGUGAAAUCCCCGGGCUCAACCUGGGAACUGCAUUGGUGACUGGCAGGCUAGAGUAUGGCAGAGGGGGGUAGAAUUCCACGUGUAGCAGUGAAAUGCGUAGAGAUGUGGAGGAAUACCGAUGGCGAAGGCAGCCCCCUGGGCCAAUACUGACGCUCAUGCACGAAAGCGUGGGGAGCAAACAGGAUUAGAAACCCUGGUAGUCCCAUGAU